GUGGGCCGGUCGCCAAUUUCAGCAGCUCCCUCUUCGCCCAGGGGCCCCAGCCUUCUUCCCUCACGCGCAUCCCCUCAAGGGAGUGACGAGCUAGGCCUUCGCUCGGCCCUGCACCUUGGGGCUCUCCCCACGCCUUCAAGGUCCAGGCGACAGGGCUGCUCGCUGAUGCUUAUCAUUUUUAUUCUUAUUUUGAGCCUCCAGGCCCUAGACCCGAGCCUCUGGAGAGCGGGCAGCCCUCUGGGGGGUUCGUCGUCGCUCCCCCCCGCUUCCCGCGGGGCCGAGGCUCGCCGCAGGGAGGGGGCGUCCGCCGGGAGACGAGGAGGGGCUGGGCGGAGACAGCGGCCGUGCGCCCGCCCUCGCCCCCUGCCGGCCGGCGCGGCGCUCCGCACGUCCGCCGCGGGGGCGGCGCGGCGCGGCUUCUGGAAGGUGCUGAGGAGGCGCGGUGAGCGGACGCCGUUUGGGCCUCGGCGCUGGUGGCGGCAGGCGUCUCCGCGCGUCCCAGUGCACGGUGGGGCGGGCUGACCGAGAUGAGACACAGAAGUAAGGAAGAAGUCUGCACCGGCUCUACGGGUGAACUGAGAUUCAGCAUAAUCCAGUGAGCACGUCUCCUAGAUGCUAUGGACUCCUUGUCCCAGGACGAGACCAGGGCAGGAGCCCCAGUUCGCCUGGGUAUGGAAGUGGUACUUCUAGAAAGAUCAGCUUUCUCCGAUCAGCUUUCUCCAUUGGGCUGGAAGCAUGGCUGUUAGCA
rnacentral:lncRNA from 1 species